rnacentral:misc_RNA from 1 species
GUCUAUUUGUUCAACUUUAUACAAAUUUAAGUGUCUACUUGUGCAAAUCCAAAGUUGAAGGUCAUAAAUGUAAUUCGAAGCCAAGUUAAAGGGCAUAUUUAUGUAUUAUGCCUACAAUCAAUUAGUCUUAUCACCUCAGCGACGCUUUGAUCUCCUGCGUUUACCAAGAAGCUUCAGCAUGUUAUCGGUGACAUCAGGAGGAGAUUUAUCAUCUUCACCAUGAUUCUUGUCAGAUGUUUGAGUUAACCAUGCUAGUGCUUCUAUUGCAGCAUCCUUUUCUGCAAGGGCUUUGUUUCUCUUUGGUUUACCUACAAAUUGCAUUCCCUUGAACUCUGCAAGUGCCCUAAAUUCAUUUGUUUUUAGAUGCUUUGUUUUGUACUUGGGAGGGGAGUGACCCGCCCUCAUAAGUAGCGUCUGCAACAAACUCUUUGGGUUUGUCCCGUCCCUUGUAAAUCUAUCAGCGUCAGAAUCUUUAGGCUUCUUGUUUUCACGACCAAACACAAACCUGCCCUCAGACUGAUCUCCUGAAACCAGUUCCUGAACAGCAAGCAUAAGGUAUUUGCCUUCCUUGUGGAUGUCUACCUCAGGAUCUUGAAGCUUCUUUUGCAAAAGUAUAUCGAGCUCCUCUUUGAGCUUUAUGUAGCAAUCCGCCAGAGAAGGAUCCAUGAAGAACUCUAUGUAUCCACCUAACAUCUUUAAAUGCCCAGCCACAUCUCCACAGUCUAGAGUACUACCAAAUAGGAUCACAAUCGAAUCAGAUACUCCAGUAGAAUCCCGUAU